rnacentral:lncRNA from 1 species
AUGAAGAAGAGGAAAUCCCAGGACCAUCAAAUAUCGGACAACGAGGAAGAGAUAUUAGUCCUAAGCGCUUCAAAGUCUACAACUUCGAAGGGCAAAGGCAAGCAACCAAUGAAGAAACCGAAAAUAGUGGAGGAACCUCAACCAUAUCUGGAGGACGAAGGAACAUCUGACGAGGAGGAGGAAAUGGAAUUGACAGCGGAAAAUUUGUUGAAUUCAGACGCGAUCAAACUGAUUCAACAAGCAACCGAACUGACUACGCUGAAUCUAGUGCUGUUGAAUCGGACAUUGACGGAAAUACAGCAAUGGAUUUUGACAAAUUCUUUCGAAACGAAAAAAUAUCCAAACAUCGAUUACAAAUGGACAGUGGUGAGUCUUCUACUGCAGAAAAUAUUGAAAAUUCAUUUUACACCCGUACAGUUGAAGACCGCUGGUGUUCAACAUUUGAUAAAUUAUCUCCUGAAGUCUCAAUCGUCCACGAUGUUUAUUGGGCUGAAACUACCGACCAACUUAAAGAAUCAAUUCUUACGGCGAUAUACAAAUCCGCCGCAAGGUGCCCUGAACUCGUCGCGACUCACGGAAAACAUAUCCACGCCAUCCAUGUCUGCUCAUGGCGUAACUCAACCUGCAAAUGUGGAAUUUCAAAACUCUUUCGGCGAAUCGGUCUCGGAGGAAGACGUAUUCGCACGGUUCACAGAAAAAAGAAUUUCCAGCGACGGAGAUGGAAAAAUUACCCUAAAUAUUUCUUACAAGCGCGACGGGAAAGUAUCGCAAUUCAUCUCGGAACCUGUCGAUGGAUAUUAUCUAGUAACGGUAUCAGUGACCAAGACGUCCUCCUUGAAGAAUGUGAAACAAGAGGAUUACUGGCGUCAUGCGGACUUCAGAGCGACAAUGGCUUGGGGACGAGAGGAACAACCGAUGGUACAGAUGCUUCAGCGGAGAGUGCUUCAAGCAAAAUCAGGUGUCGGUAAUGCCAAACACGGUCUACAAGGAGCUGGACCCCACGAAAUGGAAAAAAUAGAGCAGCAAAAAGGUGAUGGCGACGUGGAUCAUUAUGACGUCUUGCUUUUUAAACAGAAACGGAAGAGAAAACCGCUGACAGAGAUUGAUAUGAUGUUGGGCCGCAUAGCCCCCUAGUAGUUAUAUAUUUGUGUUGACUGUUCAUAAGCUACCACAUCACAUACCGCUGAGGUAGUGAUCGAGAUCGACAAAAUCCACGAAGUUGAAAGUUCAGGAAUCUUGCAUGAAGCUCAGAGCCAAACAAGUGCCACCAGGUACAACAAGGCCGCACAACGUGACCUGUUAGAUCCCAAAUUUUGAAUUUUUAAAUGUGUUUUAAACCUUCGUGACUUCAGUGCCUUAACAAUCGUUUUAAGUGUGAUUUUAAAUUUUUAUUUGUUUUGUUCAAGUGCAAUUUUAAAUCAUUAUUUGUUUUAUUAAAGUAUGAUUAUAAAUCAUUAUUUGUUUUAUUAAGUGUGAUUUUAAAUCAUUAUUUGGUUUAAUUUGUUGGCAUAAACUGUAAAACCAACAUUCCUUCCAGUGUUUGUGGCUUGAAGGCCUAAAAACAAAAACUGGUAAUUUAAGUUUAUUCCAGCAAUCUGGUGUCAUACUGUUAUCAGUUGUCCUCAAAUCCUAAGGUAAAACCUCUUCAGUGCUUUCCAUUGGAUUGACAUCUAGAAACCAAUUGGAAAUGAUUCAAACCUCGACUUGAACAUUAUUCGGUCGCAAUCAAGUGAGCAGAACAGAAGAAAGCGGUCCAAAAGGCAAUCAUACUUAAUCUAUUUAGUGAUGAAGUGUAUGAUUUAGUGCUAACAAUAAAAUCAACCAGUUUUGACGAUGCUGCCGCAGUGAUCAAGGUUCUUGAUACAGAACCUAAGCAAAAUUUAAUACCUUGAUCACACGAAUAGAAGCUGUUUUAAAUUCUAGACCUUUAACUGCUCUAUUGUCAGAUCAUAGGGAUCUUAUGGCUCUCACUCCGGGUCAUUUCUUGAUUGGGCGUCCUUUGGUAGCGCUACCCAAUAAACAGUACGAUCCAGAUGACCCUCCUAUUCUUAGGAGGUGGCAUUUUGCUGAGUUAUUUUGGCGAAGGUGGCAUAUAGAGUAUCUGCAUACCUUACUGCCGGGGGGCAAAUGGUGGGAGAAGGAGGACUCUCUGAAAGAGGGACAACUAGUGGUAUUACACGAUCCCUCUACCCCACUUUUACGGUGGAAGUUAGGACGAGUUAUCCAACUUCACCCUAGAAAAGACGGCCACACUCGAGUGGUAGAUGUUCACACAGCCUGUGGAACCCUCCAUCGUCCAGUACUGAAGCUAUUCCCUUUACCGGUUGCCGAGAAUUUAACCAAAUAAUCCUUGAUUUCAGAGAAAAUGUCUGGUUCGAAUUCCGGCCCCAAUAACAACAGCACUACCGUCCAGGAUCAAGCUUCCACCUCCUCUGUCAACCAGUCCCAAAUUUCUGUCUCAUCAUCAACUUCCCCUCCCUCAACACAGUCUCCUCAAAGUUCCGAAUGUCAAAAUCCCUCUGCACGACCUAGAAUGAUGGCGGAAUUUUACGGAAAGCCAAAUCCCGCCUGUGUGUACAUGCCGCCCGGACACGAUCCCCUAAAAGUUGGGACAAUGUCACAUUUAAAUAUUAAAUUGUCAUAAUGCGGUUUAAAUUCACCGUUUUGUAAUGCUUGAAAAUUCUCUCCCUCCUGCUUUGUUUCCGCCCUAUUCCUAAUCCGCUCCUUUUUUUCUGGUUGACCUUGCAGAUGUCGACACGGGAAAGAGUCAUUGGCCUUUUCUUAGAAAUCGUUACAUGCAUUAGUUGCCAGAAAACAAUCACGGCCCCGUUCUGAGCUUGUAAACUGGACCACGUCCAGUGCUCUGUGUGCGGAAGGCGAGACUCCAGACGAGGAUGCCCACUAUGUCGUAAUAUGUUGAGGAGAAAUCGACUUCUGGACCGCUUCGAAAAGGCAAUCUUCGAUGAAGUUACAAUUUUCCGCGGACCCAACGAGGAGCAGCUCUAACUCAGAACUUUGGAGAAGUUCAGGGGGGCAAAAUGAAGCGAGUCCCCCCUUGGUCGUCGCCUUAGUUACAAAAAUUCUUAGUUUUGAUCGAUCUCUGUUCUCGCAAUCAUCUCACCUCGCUAAAUUCCGUUUAUUUUUCCGUUUUUAUAUAUUUUUCCGUAUCUCCGUUUAUAUUUCCUGCAAAUAAAAGGUGAAACCCCAACUCAAAGUAAUUCAGAUUUUAUCACAAAUCCUACAAAAUUUCACAGCCUGACCCAGACCCAGACGGAUAUUGCUCAGCUGCGCUGACAAUUAAUCAGAAAGGGAGGUGGCUGGCGCUAUGACAGGUGAGGAGGGCUGCCAACCACAUAGAAACUGUGAGCAUUUUUUCUUACCAACAGUUUCGGGAAAGACAAUAUUUGUGGGUAAAUAUUUAACCAAUUUUUCUUUUUCAUUGGCUUUGAAAGAUGCAUAGCUGAGACUUCGUAUUCUUUGUAAAAAUGCAGCGUAUGUAUUAUAGGAGGUAUUCCUUUAAAACAGUACUUGAUAAUAAGAGCAGAAAUUUAAAUGCAAGGCAAUUUUAGAAAUGCUUAAAUGAGAACAUUCUUGUCAAAGAUAGAAAUCAUCCACCACUCCUUCGUGUUUCCUAUUGAGUGAUUUCUUGCAUAGAUAUUAGAAGUAAAAACUUGGCACACAGAUAUCCUUCAAUAAUCUUUGGUUAACAAUUGAAUUCAACCAUCAGAAAAAAAUUUCGUGGCACCGACAACUGGUUCAUCGUCGAUCCAAAAGAAAAAAAAAAGCCUACUUUCAUACACAUAGGAACCCAAAUUAUGUGAAAUCAACUUGCAUAUUAAGGAAAUAAAAAAACAUAACAAAGGCUGCUGAACAGACUAACUAAGUUAGCAUGGAAGCAAAGGAUUGAGAACCAGUCACGUGUUCAUGGCAUCAAUCAGUGCAUCUGUUUCAAACUCUGAGGUACAGUUAGGAGGCAGAAGCACAAUUGGUCCUUGGUUGGGAUCAGCAGGAAUUGUGAUGCACCGGUGACGAUACCUUCAUCACUGGGGAAACAGUUGGUCGUGUCUUCAUCAUCAGUGGGCAUGGUGCGGAUGGGUGAAGCUUCUAGGGUGACGGUUUGUGAAUUUCCUGCAAGAUCAGUGAAAAAAGGAUAAGAUGUCAGGUGAGAAAGCAUGACUCUUGGAGAACAAAAUAGUGCAAGGCGGAGGUCUAACUCUUCAAUCUGAUUUUCAUGUAUCAAAUUUUAUUCUCAAUUUUGUUCAUAAAGAGUGUGGAGCUAAAUGCAACAAAAUUGGAGACUGGACUAAGAAGUUUAAAUUUGAUAAAAUUUUGAUCCAAUAUUUUAUCACAUGAAGGUCUGAUAAAGGUAUUUUAGUUUUUCC